rnacentral:lncRNA from 1 species
AGGAAUCAACCGAGAAGUCUAGGAGCUUGCCGGAAGAAGCUCGUCAGAAUUCGCCAAGAAGAUCAUCGUGAAGUCGAGGAGCUUGCCGGAAGUCCGUUGGAAUAUUGCCGGGAGAUCGCCGAAAGAUCGCUGGAAGAAACCAAGACUUACGGAUUUGUUUAGCUUAGGAAAUAUCUUAGAAUUCGUAGUUAGCAUAUAAUUGAGAUUGGAAUUGGGCCAACCCAAUUAUGGGCCAGUUGGACCCAUGUAAGAAUUGUGUUGGGCCCAAUUAAUAGGCCCAAA